rnacentral:rRNA from 1 species
CCGGCGCACGGUGAGUAACGCGUAUGCAACUUACUAUCAGGAGGGGAGUAACCCGGCGAAAGUCGGACUAAUACCGCAUAAAGCAGGGAUCCCGCAUGGGAAUAUUUGCUAAAGAUUCAUCGCUGAUAGAUAGGCAUGCGUUCCAUUAGGCAGUUGGCGGGGUAACGGCCCACCAAACCGACGAUGGAUAGGGGUUCUGAGAGGAAGGUCCCCCACAUUGGAACUGAGACACGGUCCAA